rnacentral:rRNA from 1 species
AGCUCCAAUAGCGUAUAUUAAAGUUGUUGCAGUUAAAAAGCUCGUAGUUGGAUUUGUGGCGUACGGUGGGUUCUGGGCACUUGUUGUCUGAGUGACUUGCCGUUGCCAUCCUUGGGUGGAACCUGUGUGGCAUUAGGUUGUCGUGCAGGGGAUGCCCAUCAUUUACUGUGAAAAAAUUAGAGUGUUCAAAGCAGGCUUAUGCCGUUGAAUAUAUUAGCAUGGAAUAAUAAGAUAGGACUUGUUUGCUAUUUUGUUGGUUUGCGCAAAUAGGUAAUGAUUAAUAGGGACAGUUGGGGGUAUUCGUAUUCCAUUGUCAGAGGUGAAAUUCUUGGAUUUUUGGAAGACGAACUACUGCGAAAGCAUUUACCAAGGAUGUUUUCAUUAAUCAAGAACGAAAGUA